rnacentral:rRNA from 1 species
GAAGCUUGCUUCCACUGAGAAGAUAGUGGCGAACGGGUGAGUAACACGUGGGUAACCUGCCCAUAAGAGGGGGAUAACAUCCGGAAACGGGUGCUAAUACCGCAUAGUUUUCUUGAUCGCAUGAUCGGGAAAGGAAAGACGGCCUUUGUGCUGUCGCUUAUGGAUGGACCCGCGGCGUAUUAGUUAGUUGGUGAGGUAACGGCUCACCAAGACGAUGAUACGUAGCCGACCUGAGAGGGUGAUCGGCCACAUUGGGACUGAGACACGGCCCAAACUCCUACGGGAGGCAGCAGUAGGGAAUCUUCCGCAAUGGACGAAAGUCUGACGGAGCAACGCCGCGUGAGUGAAGAAGGUUUUCGGAUCGUAAAACUCUGUUGUCAGAGAAGAACAAGUUGGAGAGUAACUGCUCCAGCCUUGACGGUAUCUGACCAGAAAGCCACGGCUAACUACGUGCCAGCAG